UACGUAGGGUGCAAGCGUUAAUCGGAAUUACUGGGCGUAAAGCGUGCGCAGGCGGUUGUGCAAGACAGAUGUGAAAUCCCCGGGCUUAACCUGGGAACUGCAUUUGUGACUGCACAGCUAGAGUGCGGCAGAGGGGGAUGGAAUUCCGCGUGUAGCAGUGAAAUGCGUAGAUAUGCGGAGGAACACCGAUGGCGAAGGCGCACAUCUGGCCCAAUACUGACGCUGAGGCGCGAAAGCUAGGGGAGCAAACGGG
rnacentral:rRNA from 1 species